UCGGAACUGAUUCGGGCUCGGCCCGAUCCUCCCACCCUUUGUGUACCUACCUCUGUUGCUUUGGCGGGCCGCGGUCCUCCGCGGCCGCCCCCCUCCCCGGGGGGGUGGCCAGCGCCCGCCAGAGGACCAUCAAACUCCAGUCAGUAAACGAUGCAGUCUGAAAAACAUUUAAUAAACUAAAACUUUCAACAACGGAUCUCUUGGUUCUGGCAUCGAUGAAGAACGCAGCGAAAUGCGAUAAGUAAUGUGAAUUGCAGAAUUCAGUGAAUCAUCGAAUCUUUGAACGCACAUUGCGCCCUUUGGUAUUCCGAAGGGCAUGCCUGUUCGAGCGUCAUUACAACCCUCAAGCUCUGCUUGGUAUUGGGCACCGUCCUUUGCGGGCGCGCCUCAAAGACCUCGGCGGUGGCGUCUUGCCUCAAGCGUAGUAGAACAUACAUCUCGCUUCGGAGCGCAGGGCGUCGCCCGCCGGACGAACCUUCUGAACUUUUCUCAAGGUUGACCUCGGAUCAGGUAGGGAUACCCGCUGAACUUAAGCAUAUCAUAAGCCGGGAGGAAGAU
rnacentral:rRNA from 1 species